CCUACGGGUGGCAGCAGUGAGGAAUAUUGGUCAAUGGCCGAAAGUCUGAACCAGCCAAGCCGCGUGAGGGAGGAAGGCCCAGUGCGUCGCAGACCUCUUUUGCCGGGGGACAAAACGCCGCACUCGUCCGUUCCUGCGUGUACCCUAUGAAUAAGCAUCGGCUAACUCCGUGCCAGCAGCCGCGGUAAUACGGGGGAUGCGAGCGUUAUCCGGAUUCAUUGGGUUUAAGGGGUGCGAAGGGGGGCCUUUAAGCCGGCGGUGAAAUCGGGGGGCUAAACCCCGCAGAGCCGUCGGAACUGGGGGCCUUGAGUGCGGCGGAGGUAGGCGGAAUGCGCGGUGUAGCGGUGAAAUGCAUAGAUAUCGCGCAGAACCCCGAUUGCGAAGGCAGCGUGCCGUGCCGUGACUGACGCUGAGGCACGAAAGCGCGGGGAUCGAACAGGAUUAGAUACCCCAGUAGUC
rnacentral:rRNA from 1 species